GCUAUGCACCCCAGACAGAUACCCAGCACCCUGCCCCCGGGGCUCCAAACCUGGGGUCAGGUCGGUGGCCACAGGUGCCCCCUGCAGAAGGGUAGGCUGUGCAGAAAUUGUUUUCACCCGUGUCUACUGAGACGGAAAACACCUCAAUUGGGCAGCCUGGUCCUCAGGAGGGGCAUGAAUAAGCACUUGCUUCUCCUCGUGGGGUUCGUCCAGCAGCCUGGUGUGCACACAGCUACUGCAAGUCAAGAGACAGCAGCCACUGGACCAAAAUCUAAGAAGUGAUUUGCCCCGGGUCACACAGUUAUUUAGCGAAAGAGUCCAUCUGGACAAGAUUCCUUCCCAUAAACCAAAGCAGUCUACAGAUAUACAGAAGGUGCCUACUUUGUGCCGGGAACUGUGCUGGGUGCUGAAAUAUACAACAGAUGGUGGACAAGUCAAACCAACUCUGCCCCUGUGGGUAGAAACACUACAGGGACACUUUUGGCGUGUGAUGGGCACUGAACCUACAAAUAGCAAUAAAAGAUGGCCUUUCAAGUGGCUUCCUUCGGUAAAUAAAAGUUCCACGCCUCGAUUGUGCUGCCUCCGCUUUCUGGAAUGCUCUGCCCCACCCCACGGCCUCUCUUCACGGAACUACCUCCCGAUUAUCGUCCGCAGUUCAAACACCACCUCCUCCAGGAAGUCCAUCCUGCACAUCCCCAGCUGCAUUAGAUGCCCCUCUUGGUACUUAGCCUCAUGCCCCAUGUACGGCUGUCAUUGCACUUACCAUAUUGUUGUAUAAUUGCUAUCUUCCGCUCCUACGCUGAAUUUCUUCUUGGCCAGAACCAACACAUUUUAUUCAUCUUUGUUCUCUCCGUA